UACGUGGGGCGCAAGCGUUGCUCGGAAUCACUGGGCGUAAAGGGCGUGUAGGCGGGAAUGUAAGUCGGGCGUGAAAUCCCUAGGCUCAACCUAGGAACUGCACUCGAAACUGCGUUUCUUGAGUACCGGAGAGGAAAGCGGAAUACCUGGUGUAGAGGUGAAAUUCGUAGAUAUCAGGUGGAACACCAGUGGCGAAGGCGGCUUUCUGGACGGUAACUGACGCUGAGACGCGAAAGCGUGGGGAGCAAACAGG
rnacentral:rRNA from 1 species